UACGUAGGGAGCAAGCGUUGUCCGGAAUCAUUGGGCGUAAAGCGCGCGUAGGUGGCCUCAUAAGUCCGCUGUGAAAGUCAAAGGCUCAACCUUUGAAAGCCGGUGGAUACUGUGGGGCUAGAGUACGGAAGAGGCGAGUGGAAGUUCCUGGUGUAGCGGUGGAAUGCGCAGAUAUCAGGAGGAACACCAAUAGCGAAGGCAGCUCGCUGGGACGUUACUGACACUGAGGCGCGAAAGCGUGGGGAGCGAACAGG
rnacentral:rRNA from 1 species